rnacentral:lncRNA from 1 species
AUGAAGCCCUCUCUACUCCCACACCCUCAGGCACAAAUCGAUGCCUUCCUGGUGUUCCUGCCCUCUCUCAGAACUGCAGGAGGGCAAGCACAGAGAAGAGGACUAAACAAAGGCUUCCAGGCACAUGUGGAAUGCAUUAUGUUUCUAAUCAUAACUCUGCCAAAGUUGUCUUCAAAUAAGGAGUUGUGAGAGAAAUUACCCAAAU